UACGGGGGGGGUAAGCGUUGUUCGGAAUUACUGGGCGUAAAGGGCUCGUAGGCGGCCAACUAAGUCAUACGUGAAAUCCCUCAGCUUAACUGGGGAACUGCGUGUGAUACUGGAUGGCUUGGAUUUGGGAGAGGGAUGCGGAAUUCCAGGUGUAGCGGUGAAAUGCGUAGAUAUCUGGAGGAACACCGGUGGCGAAGGCGGCAUCCUGGACCAAUAUUGACGCUGAGGAGCGAAAGCAUGGGGAGCGAACAGG
rnacentral:rRNA from 1 species